CUUUCUUUAAAGUAACCACCUCUGGCUUUGGCAACAGCUUGGCAUAUACCAGGCAUUCGUUCCACAAGUUUUUUAAGGUAUGUUCAAGGGAUUGCAUUCCAAGCUUUCUUAAGUUCAUUAAAAAGAGACUGCUGAUUCGUGGGACGUGUUUUUCUGACCGAUCGAUCCAAUCCAUUCCGCACAAGCUCAAUUGGAGAAAGGUCUGGAGACUGAGGGGGCCAAACCAUCUUUUGAAGAACACCUUCCUCUUCUUUUUUGUCUAGGUAACCCUGACAGAGCUUGGCAGUGCUUAGGAUCAUUGUCUUGCUGCAAAAUAAACUUAUGAGCCUCCAUCACCUGCAAAACAUCCCCAUACCAUGGAACUACCACCUCCAUGCUGAAUUGUGGGUGUAACACAUGGUGCUUUCAGACGUUCACCAGUUUGUCUGCGGACAUAGACUCUGCGUUUUGAACCCAUGUAAACUUGUUUCAAGUCUUCAUAAGUCCAAUUUUUGUGAUCUUUUGCCCACUCAUAUCUCUUUUUCUUAUUCUGUGGACGAAGUAGUGUUUUUUUUUUGCAGAUACACAACCCUUCAGACCAGCCUUUCUCAAACGUCAUUUCAUGGUUGUCAGAGAUAUGGGUUUCAACCUUGUCAUGUUGAUUUCCUCCCUUAUUUUUGGUGCUGUCUUUCAACGAUCUCUCUUACUGUGACAAUGCUAUGUUUAUCCUCUGCUUUACUCUCUUUCAUCCAGGUCUUUUUCUAUCAUCAUAACUUCCAGGUUUCUCUAGUCUGAGAGGAUGUUUCUCCUGCACAGACUGGAAUGUCUUUCACUGUUUGGAGCUAAACGAGGCUACUGAGACUAUUACAGAAUACAUCAAAUUCUGUGUAGACAAUGUUGUCCCAAAAAAAGAGGUCAAACAUUUCCCCAACAACAAGCCGCACAUUACCAAAGAGGUCAAGUCCUGCAUCAAUAAGAAGAAGCUGGCCUUCAAAAAUGAGGACCGUGUCGGUGUGGUUUCUGCCCAGAAAGAAAUCAACUCAAUGCUUAAGCAGGCCAGAGAAAAACACAGGGUUAAACUAGAACAGAGCUUUAGCUUUAU